ensembl:piRNA 21ur-10123 ncRNA
UCCAUUGAUUUUUUUGCCAGC